rnacentral:lncRNA from 1 species
UUAAAAUGCUAUUUUUCUCCAACAGGUCAAAAGAAUUCUGCGAGUUAGAGCGCAGAUUAAGUUGCUAGCGACGGGCAUUGAAGGUUUUAGAACCGAGAAAAUGAGCCGGUGGCGGGGAGCGCGUCCUCAGCGGCCAGGCCCGGCACGGGGCUCGGGCACUCGGGGACACACGGUGGUCGUCGCUGUGUCUCAGCAGGACCCUGUGCGCUGGAGAGCUUGGGGCCGCGAGUCGCGCAGCAAGGAGGCUUCUGGCUUCUCUAUUUUUAGCCUCUGAACGUUUUCCAAAAUAAUUACCAAAAGGAAAUACACACGCACACAUGGACCUAACACACAAAACGUCCUUCUGCGGGAAGCCAGCACUAGGAAAGAAAAAAAAAAAAAUCCGAAGUGAAAUUAUGACACAGGGUUUUGUAACCCGCGGUGGCGCGCUUCUGAAACCCGAGCCCGGCAGCGGCUUCUUAUCUGCACCGCGUUCCAGGAAGCAGCCGGCGUUUCGGCCGCGCAAGGGCAGCCGCCGCACGUAGGCAGCGUCCCCCAGCCCGGGACCCGCAGGAAUGCGAGGGGCAAGACAGAUCGCCGGAGGAGCAGGGGUCAGAAGUCAGUGUUUAACCACUCACUGGCUUUCGGUGAAGCCAGAAUGUUAGCAGCGAGUCGCGGUCGGGGGCCUUGGGGUUGCACACGCUUGCUCCAAGCACCGAGGCUCAGCUGAGCACAUGCACAACCCUCUCGAUGCAGCGGAAAGUCGUGUGGCUUAGGGCCGCACCCCGAAUUUCGCCGCACCCGCCGCUGUGCCAUUUACAACCCCCCACCCCGCCACUGCUGUCACGUAGCAAUCAAGAGUAAAGGUUAUCACAAAGUCUGUUCUUCGAAGGAAAGAGUUGGAAUCAAGGACUUCGGACGGGAGGAAGUUGUUCUACUGGAGGCAGCUACCAUGUUUC